rnacentral:rRNA from 1 species
UACUCCUACGGGAGGCAGAGUGGGGUAUUUUGGACAAUGGGAGCAAGCCUGAUCCAGCAAUGCCGCGUGCACGACGAAGGCCUUCGGGUUGUAAACUGCUUUAUACGGAACGAAGAACCUUCUUCUAAUACAGGAGGACAUGACGUACCA